CAGGGGGCCCCUCUCCGCCUGCUUAUUCCCCCUGGAUCUAACGACAGCAGCUAGUUCUGCAAGGAGCUCCUCGAGCUGGAACACCUGAAUUAAAACGUGAAGGACUGGAAAAAAGAAAAGGAGGGAGGUGCGAGGGGAGAGGAAGGGAGAAGCAAAAUGGAGCAGGCGGCGGCAGAGAGGGGUGCACAAGGAAAAACUUGGCAGACAGCAUCAUAUGGAGGAAGAUGUGGCCUCUCCUGUCCAAAUGUGAAGUGUACACUGACUCUACCCUGACUGGGGAAGGGAAAGAGUGCUCUCUUGUUCUGCCAGGAACUUGAUUUAGCCAGCUCUGGCUACAGCAGGGCUGACCCCAUUGAAGGUGGUGGGAAAGCAGCCUUUUCCCCCACUUGCUUGCUGGACCGGAGAUCAGAGGAGACCUGGGCUCCCUGGGGAUGGGAUGGACCUGGCAGUAAAAUAAACUGGGAAACCAUA